rnacentral:rRNA from 1 species
UGACUGUAGGUGAAAGCUUACAUCUCUUCGGAGCAUUUUACGAGGUGCUGCAUGGUUGUCGUCAGCUCGUGCCGUGAGGUGUCGGUUAAGUCCCAUAACGAGCGCAACCCUACCCUUUAGUUGCCAUCAGGUAAUGCUGGGGACUCUAAAGGAACUGCCUACGCAAGUAGUGAGGAAGGCGGGGAUGACGUCAAAUCAGCACGGCCCUUACGUCCAGGGCUACACACGUGCUACAAUGGCCGAUACAGAGGGCAGCUACCUGGUGACAGGAUGCAAAUCUCCAAAGUCGGUCUCAGUUCGGAUCGGAGUCUGCAACCCGACUCCGUGAAGUUGGAUUCGCUAGUAAUCGCGCAUCAGCCAUGGCGCGGUGAAUACGUUCCCGGGCCUU